GCUGGCAACCAGACUCGAGCGCGGUGUUCCCCCUGGCUUCUGCUAGGGUUACUUCACCGUGUCCGGGCCAUCAUCAGUUUUGGGGACCGGUCAAAGGCCCCGGGAAUGUAUCUACCCACGGGUAGACUUAUAGACCGGGGUGUCAUGCGACCUCUCGGGACCGAGGAACGCGCUUCGGCUCGGAUGUUGGCGUAAUGGUUGUCAGCGA
rnacentral:rRNA from 1 species